UCUCUAGCCAUUGAAAAUCUGUUUUUUGUUUUCUAAAUUAGUUUUAUAUUAAUUUCCUGUAAUUGAUACUACAUUAGAAAUUCUGUUAUAAGUACUAGGUGUAGAGAUAUGUUUGAUUUAACAAAAGUUUCCGAACGUAUAGAUGAGAUGUUUUUAGAUGUCAGUGAAUAUAUUAUAUUGCAUAGAUGGUAGAUGUAUACACAGGAGAAGGCGGUUAACUGGUUCAAAUUAAUUAUCCAUUCCUUAUUUACAUAUCAUUCUUUUUAAUCUCUUGCAUGUUCUCAACUUCGGUUACAUGUUAUUUGUCUGAUUAGGCUGGUUCCAUAUCGAUGGCAAGAGAAUCAAGAUAUCUAAUGAAUAUUUAUACGCUGCAGUCUGAGUAGGCUUGUGAAUGUGAAUGUGAUUGUAUUGCAGAUCCAGCAUCACCCCUGGGACACUACUGAUCAUCCUUGCUGGUAGGUUCAAGGGCAAGAGAGUUAAUUUUUUUUAACCAACUACCCUCUGUUUUUCUUUUUGUGACCGAUCAAUGAUUGCCACGUCCUGAAAGUCUCUGAUGUUAGCCUCGAUAAAUAUGAUGAUCAGUAUUUUGGAAAGGUAGGCGAGAAGAAGAACAAGAAGGGAGAAGGAGAGUCUCUGAUGGAGCCGUGGAUCUAUAUAUCUGAAUUACAAACACCUAAAGGCAAAAUACAAAAAGUGUACUAUUUAUACUACUCAAGUUUAUUGUUUUCUGCUAGGCUUCAAUCUCAAGCUCUCCCUUGUACUUCUUCACUUCUUUCCUCUUCCUCUGCGUGUUGUCUUCCUCUCGUGUCCUUACUUAUACACUCCAAUGUAUCAGAGUCUUCGAGGCAGAGAGAGAGAAAGUGUCUACACAUAGGGAAAAAGACGACUAGAUGGCUGUGGACGGAGCUUUGAUCAAAGCCAUCGAGGUAGUUUCAGAGUUGAAUACUUGCCUUUGCACAGUUUUCAUUGCACAAGGAAUGGAGCCACAUAAGCUUGUUUUCUAGAUUUUAAAACCUUUUAUGAGCAUCUUAGGUAUAUGUGCCCUCAUGCGUUACUCUUUUUUUUGUUCUUGUCCACAUACCAGAGAUAUUUUGACUUGAUACAUUCUAUAUAUCACAUUUGGUAUAAACAAUCCAUCUUAUUUAAUUUGAACUUUGAAGCAAUAUUUUUCAAUAGAUAAUAAUAUUGUUAUGUCGAAAACUCAGUGAAUCUUCAAGUAAACUGGGAUGAGAGCACAAAUAAAUGAAAUAGCUUUUUUCCACAAA